AGGAGAAACACCUAGGACUAAGGAAGGCCUCAGAGAAGGGAUCCAAAAGCAUCUCCAGAUAAUUUUGUUCUUGACAUCCUCAUUUCCUCUGAGUUUUUCUUAUGAAAAUGUUUUCUCUAUAGACUGUGGCAAUAUUUUACCUGAGACAAACAACUACAUUUCUGCAAACUGUUUUUAUCCACAAAAGGACGUGGGUGAACCGUGGGCAGCAUUAUUGUGACUAGUGUUCAAUUUCAGGAGUAGUAUUCACAAACUCAGCUGCAUACCCACACUUCCCUGGAAUGAGUGAAAAUCUACAGAGUCCAGGAGUGAGAUGGGUAAAUCCCAGCACAUUGGCUGGAUGCCUACAUUGAAUUUCCAGAAGAAUGAGGAGAUGGCUGCAGGUUUUUUUUGGCUUAGAUGUCGCCUCUGGAAGACGGAGACAAGAUACUGUAUGUGCAGUUGAAAUAGUUUUUUUUUCAGUAUGGUACUGCAAGCCCCACCAUUGAUUCAUUUCUAUACAACUCGAGUAUGAAUCUUGCAGGAACUUAAAGUGCUCAAAACACAACAUUCACCUUGAGGUGAACAGUAUGCCUUUGCCCCAAAUGGGAACACUGCAGCAAGCUUUUAGAUCGCUAUUGCUUUUGUAUCGCUAUUGCUUUUGUAUGGAUUCAAUUUAUGAAAUGAUGAUCAUUCCAGGAAAGAA